rnacentral:rRNA from 1 species
GAUGAACGCUGGCGGCGUGCCUAAUACAUGCAAGUCGAGCGAACAGAUGAGGAGCUUGCUCCUCUGACGUUAGCGGCGGACGGGUGAGUAACACGUGGAUAACCUACCUAUAAGACUGGGAUAACUUCGGGAAACCGGAGCUAAUACCGGAUAAUAUAUUGAACCGCAUGGUUCAAUAGUGAAAGACGGUUUUGCUGUCACUUAUAGAUGGAUCCGCGCCGCAUUAGCUAGUUGGUAAGGUAACGGCUUACCAAGGCAACGAUGCGUAGCCGACCUGAGAGGGUGAUCGGCCACACUGGAACUGAGACACGGUCCAGACUCCUACGGGAGGCAGCAGUAGGGAAUCUUCCGCAAUGGGCGAAAGCCUGACGGAGCAACGCCGCGUGAGUGAUGAAGGUCUUCGUAUCGUAAAACUCUGUUAUUAGGGAAGAACAAAUGUGUAAGUAACUAUGCACGUCUUGACGGUACCUAAUCAGAAAGCCACGGCUAACUACGUG